rnacentral:rRNA from 1 species
UACGUAGGGGACAAGCGUUAUCCGGAUUUACUGGGCGUAAAGCGCCCGUAGGCGGCCUGAUAAGUUGGACGUGAAAGCUCCCGGCUUAACUGGGAGAGGCCGUUCAAAACUGUGAGGCUAGAGUGAGGCAGAGGAGCGCGGAAUUCCCGGUGUAGUGGUGGAAUGCGUAGAGAUCGGGAGGAACACCAGUGGCGAAAGCGGCGCUCUGGGCCUAAACUGACGCUGAGGGGCGAAAGCGUGGGGAGCGAACGGG